rnacentral:rRNA from 1 species
UACGAAGGGGGCUAGCGUUGCUCGGAAUUACUGGGCGUAAAGCGCACGUAGGCGGCUUCUUAAGUCGGUGGUGAAAUCCUGGAGCUCAACUCCAGAACUGCCUUCGAUACUGGGAAGCUCGAGUCCGGGAGAGGUGAGUGGAACUGCGAGUGUAGAGGUGAAAUUCGUAGAUAUUCGCAAGAACACCGGUGGCGAAGGCGGCUCACUGGCCCGGUACUGACGCUGAGGUGCGAAAGCGUGGGGAGCAAACAGG